GUGUGGGUGAUAACACUCCAAAUCUUCUAGAUGGAAGGGUCACUCAGGCGGGAUAACUUUACCGAGACGGCAUACAGUCACCUAUAUGGGUGAUAAUAUUCCAAGUCUUCUAGGCGGAACAGUCACUCAGUAGGAAAACUUUGCUUACUAUCACCACCCCGAUUUGCAACUGUAAGGGUGGUAACCCUCCAAGUCCAUGGAUGGACGGACCACUCAGACACUAAUACGCCCACAGAUACGUCGAUAAAUACGAACACGGUGUUCAAUACCACAGGGUGCUAACCAAGAGGAUUGUUGCCAAUUCAAUAGGUUGUUUAAAAUCGGGAAGCUUCGGAUAUCCCGCUUUUAAACUUGAAAAGCUUUAAAAAGGCCAAUCCGUAAAAUGAAGCUUUAUUCUUUCUUGCAAUCCAAAAGAAAACACAGGUGCGCGACGGUGAUUUUUUUAAAGUUGUACAGUUUUUAAAAUUAAAUUGUGACGGAAGAUAAUGUUGUUUUGUUCAAAUUCAAAACUAUUGUGAUAGUACAAUGUAAUCCAAUAUCCGAGAAGACAAGUGAUUGUUAGUAGCAAAAAACAAAAGGUAAACAU